rnacentral:rRNA from 1 species
CCUACGGGAGGCAGCAGUAGGGAAUCUUCCGCAAUGGACGAAAGUCUGACGGAGCAACGCCGCGUGAGCGAUGAAGGCCUUCGGGUCGUAAAGCUCUGUUGUCAGGGAAGAACAAGUAUCGGAGUAACUGCCGGUACCUUGACGGUACCUGACCAGAAAGCCACGGCUAACUACGUGCCAGCAGCCGCGGUAAUACGUAGGUGGCAAGCGUUGUCCGGAAUUAUUGGGCGUAAAGCGCGCGCAGGCGGUCCUUUAAGUCUGAUGUGAAAGCCCACGGCUCAACCGUGGAGGGUCAUUGGAAACUGGGGGACUUGAGUGCAGAAGAGGAAAGCGGAAUUCCACGUGUAGCGGUGAAAUGCGUAGAGAUGUGGAGGAACACCAGUGGCGAAGGCGGCUUUCUGGUCUGUAACUGACGCUGAGGCGCGAAAGCGUGGGGAGCGAACAGGAUUAGAUACCCUGGUAGUCCACGCCGUAAACGAUGAGUGCUAAGUGUUAGAGGGUUUCCGCCCUUUAGUGCUGCAGCAAACGCAUUAAGCACUCCGCCUGGGGAGUACGGCCGCAAGGCUGAAACUCAAAGGAAUUGACGG